rnacentral:rRNA from 1 species
AUUGAACGCUGGCGGCAUGCCUUACACAUGCAAGUCGAACGGCAGCAUAGGAGCUUGCUCCUGAUGGCGAGUGGCGAACGGGUGAGUAAUAUAUCGGAACGUGCCCUAGAGUGGGGGAUAACUAGUCGAAAGACUAGCUAAUACCGCAUACGAUCUACGGAUGAAAGUGGGGGAUCGCAAGACCUCAUGCUCCUGGAGCGGCCGAUAUCUGAUUAGCUAGUUGGUGGGGUAAAAGCCUACCAAGGCAACG